AGAGUUUGAUCCUGGCUCAGAUUGAACGCUGGCGGCAUGCUUUACACAUGCAAGUCGAACGGUAGCAGGCCUUCGGGUGCUGACGAGUGGCGGACGGGUGAGUAAUGCGUAGGAAUCUGUCUUUUAGUGGGGGAGUAACGCAGCGAAAGUUAGUGCUAAUACCGCAUAAGACUCUGAGGAGGAAAGACGGGGGACCGGAAAGGACCUCGCGCUGAAGGAGCGGCCGAUGUCCGAUUAGCUAGUUGGUAGGGGUAAAGGGACCGUACCCAAGGACGACGAUCAGUAGCUGGUCUGAGAGGACGACCAGCCACACUGGGAC
rnacentral:rRNA from 1 species